GUUGCUUGCAGAAAUGUUGUCAAUGUAAACCUCCUAGGUGCGAUCUGCGAGCAUAAGCAGAUUGUCGGCGAAGCAUAAAACUAUUCGAAGGAAACAAAGAAAAAGAAGGCUUGCAUAAAGGUCCCGAACCAUUUCCCAUAUCUAGUCUGGCUAUAGAUUGUUAAUUAGAAGCGUGUGGAUAAAGUGAAUAAAGCAUGAAUUCUUAACCGAAUUGGUUUCUAGAUAGCCAAUAAGGGGCUGUCACAUGUCAUUCUCUAAAAACGACCAAAAUUAUUCCGAUGCUUAAAAGGGAAAUCUAUAAACACACCCUCCCAAUUGAAGGAAGGCGUGCAAUUCAAUUAUCUCCCUCUCAAAUAAAUAUUUCUCCUCUUGUUUUAGUUUAAGCAUCUAUAUUAUUGAAUUUAGGAGGCGAAAACAAGAAUUCGGUGAGAG
rnacentral:lncRNA from 1 species